GAUGAAGAACGCAGCGAAAUGCGAUAAGUAGUGUGAAUUGCAGAAUUCAGUGAAUCAUCGAAUCUUUGAACGCACAUUGCGCCCCUUGGUAUUCCAUGGGGCAUGCCUGUUCGAGCGUCAUUUGUACCUUCAAGCUCUGCUUGGUGUUGGGUGUUUGUCUCGCCUUGCGCGUAGACUCGCCUUAAAACAAUUGGCAGCCGGCGUAUUGAUUUCGAAGCGCAGUACAUCUCGCGCUUUGCACUCAUAACGACGACGUCCAAAAGUACUUUUUACACUCUUGACCUCGGAUCAGGUAGGGAUACCCGCUGAACUUAAGCAUAUCAAUAAGCGGAGGA
rnacentral:misc_RNA from 1 species